rnacentral:rRNA from 1 species
GACGAACCGUGCGAACGUUGUUCGGAAUCACUGGGCUUAAAGGGCGCGUAGGCGGCUUGCCAAGUCCGGGGUGAAAGCCCCCAGCUCAACUGGGGAAGGGCCUCGGAUACUGGCGAGCUCGAGGGAGGUAGGGGUCGAGGGAACUUCUGGUGGAGCGGUGAAAUGCGUUGAUAUCAGAAGGAACGCCGGUGGCGAAAGCGCUCGACUGGAUCUCUACUGACGCUGAGGCGCGAAAGCUAGGGGAGCAAACGGG